rnacentral:rRNA from 1 species
AGUCGAAACUAGUUAUACAUAAAAAAAGCAGUUAAAUACCUAAUCAAAUUAUAAUAAAAUUAUAAGAUAAAGAAUAACUACACUUACUAUUCAAAUAAAUGAAUAAUCAAAUCAAUUUUUCUUUUAUUAUUUUAACCUCUGAUUUUUCUUACCUUUUUAAGAUUAGCUUUUUUAAGGUUAAGAAUAUUUCUUUAGUUUAUUUAACCUAUUAAAGUUAGAUAUAAAAAUAAAAUACUCCUUACUACUAACCCCUACCCUUCCUCUUAUGGAGGAUAAAGUAGGCAAAAAAGUAGUCAAUAAAUAAAUUAAUAGAAAUAUAAAUAAUAAUCAAUAUUUUAUUAUUUAUAAUGUUUUACUUAUUUUA